CCUUUUGUAUAAUGGGUCAGCGACUUAUAUUCUGUAGCAAGGUUAACCGAAUAGGGGAGCCGAAGGGAAACCGAGUCUUAACUGGGCGUUAAGUUGCAGGGUAUAGACCCGAAACCCGGUGAUCUAGCCAUGGGCAGGUUGAAGGUUGGGUAACACUAACUGGAGGACCGAACCGACUAAUGUUGAAAAAUUAGCGGAUGACUUGUGGCUGGGGGUGAAAGGCCAAUCAAACCGGGAGAUAGCUGGUUCUCCCCGAAAGCUAUUUAGGUAGCGCCUCGUGAAUUCAUCUCCGGGGGUAGAGCACUGUUUCGGCAAGGGGGUCAUCCCGACUUACCA
rnacentral:rRNA from 1 species